ACGUGACAGACCCUUCCCUUGAGGGAUCUUCGCGCAGGGACUGCACGAACGGGUCCCUGAGGUUGGUUUCGCUCCUUUCAGCUGAUUGGCUGUUGCUUGGUUUAGGUGCAAAAUUUGAAUUCAGCAGACUAAACCAAUCAAUCGUGUGGAACUAUUUUCAGUUAUGUACAGAGCACCAAGGCCAGACUUCAUAUGAUGGUUUCUCUGACUCUGUACAUCUGAUAGUCCCGCAAUUUGCAG